CGCUGGGCGGCGUGCCUAAUACAUGCAAGUACGAACGAAGUUAUUGUAGCAAUACGAUAACUUAGUGGCGAACGGGUGAGUAACGCGUUGGUGACCUCGCCCGAAGGAGGGGAUAACAGUACCGAAAGGAUUGCUAACUACCCAUAAUGUCUACCGGUUUUAGAAUCUAGGUAACGAAAGUCGCAAGACACUUUGGGAGGGACCUGCGUCCCAUCAGCUAGUUGGUAAGGUAACGGCCUACCAAGGCAAUGACGGGUAGGGGACCUGAGAGGGUGGACCCCCACAAUGGCACUGAAACACGGGCCAUACACCUACGGGUGGCAGCAGUAGGGAAUAUUGCUUAAUGUGCGAAAGCGCGAAAGCAGCAACGCCGCGUGUGUGAUGAAGGCCUUCGGGUCGUAAAACACUUUUUGAAGGAUGAGGAAGGACAGUACUUCAAGAAUAAGCCUCGGCUAACUACGUGCCAGCCGCCGC
rnacentral:rRNA from 1 species